rnacentral:lncRNA from 1 species
GUAACAACUUCCUGAAUGCAAUUUUACUGGCAGUUCUUCAUUCUUUGAAGUGGAGGAUGGUGAAGGAUGUGCUGAUUGGACCUGAGACCCUGUCUCCUGGUGAGGCUGUUCUAAAAUCUCUUCCUUUGAACUGACACAUGGGGUCAUCCUCUCCAAUUCCAGUUUCCCUUACCACUAGCCUAUUCCUCAUGACACCUGCUACAAUUUCAACCAACUGAAAAGAACUCCAUGAGAAUGAAAAGGGAUGUUAGAAAAUGUCAGUGUUGAUGGCAAGAUCACUGGAUCUACCUGGACCAUGUGAAGAGAGAAGGUGAACUGAGGAAGAAUCCUAGAGGCAGCCUGGUAGAUUAGAGUGUUGGAAUUGGAGACAAGAAGAGCUAGGUUCAAAUCCCUGUUCUGAGAAAUAAGUUGUGUGAUUCUGGCCAAGUCUUAAGUG